GCUGGGGGAUUAGUGGCGAACGGGUGAGUAACACGUGAGUAACCUGCCCUUGACUCUGGGAUAAGCCUGGGAAACUGGGUCUAAUACCGGAUAUGACUCCUCAUCGCAUGGUGGGGGGUGGAAAGCUUUUGUGGUUUUGGAUGGACUCGCGGCCUAUCAGCUUGUUGGUGGGGUAAUGGCCUACCAAGGCGACGACGGGUAGCCGGCCUGAGAGGGUGACCGGCCACACUGGGACUGAGACACGGCCCAGACUCCUACGGGAGGCAGCAGUGGGGAAUAUUGCACAAUGGGCGCAAGCCGGGAUGCAGCGACGCCGCGUGAGGGAUGACGGCCUUCGGGUUGUAAACCUCUUUCAGUAGGGAAGGAAGCGUAAGUGACGGUACCUGCAGAAGAAGCGCCGGCUAACUACGUGCCAGCAGCCGCGGUAAUACGUAGGGCGCAAGCGUUAUCCGGAAUUAUUGGGCGUAAAGAGCUCGUAGGCGGUUUGUCGCGUCUGCUGUGAAAGACCGGGGCUCAACUCCGGUUCUGCAGUGGGUACGGGCAGACUAGAGUGCAGUAGGGGAGACUGGAAUUCCUGGUGUAGCGGUGAAAUGCGCAGAUAUCAGGAGGAACACCGAUGGCGAAGGCAGGUCUCUGGGCUGUAACUGACGCUGAGGAGCGAAAGCAUGGGGAGCGAACAGGAUUAGAUACCCUGGUAGUCCAUGCGUAAACGUUGGGCACUAGGUGUGGGGGACAUUCCACGUUUUCCGCGCGUAGCUAACGCAUUAAGUGCCCCGCUGGGGAGUACGGCCGCAAGGCUAAAACUCAAAGGAAUUGACGGGGGCCCGCACAAGCGGCGGAGCAUGCGGAUUAAUUCGAUGCAACGCGAAGAACCUUACCAAGGCUUGACAUGAACCGGAAAGACCUGGAAACAGGUGCCCCGCUUGCGGUCGGUUUACAGGUGGUGCAUGGUUGUCGUCAGCUCGUGUCGUGAGAUGUUGGGUUAAGUCCCGCAACGAGCGCAACCCUCGUUCUAUGUUGCCAGCGGUUCGGCCGGGGACUCAUAGGAGACUGCCGGGGUCAACUCGGAGGAAGGUGGGGACGACGUCAAAUCAUCAUGCCCCUUAUGUCUUGGGCUUCACGCAUGCUACAAUGGCCGGUACAAAGGGUUGCGAUACUGUGAGGUGGAGCUAAUCCCAAAAAGCCGGUCUCAGUUCGGAUUGGGGUCUGCAACUCGACCCCAUGAAGUCGGAGUCGCUAGUAAUCGCAGAUCAGCAACGCUGCGGUGAAUACGUUCCCGGGCCUUGUACACACCGCCCGUCAAGUCACGAAAGUUGGUAACACCCG
rnacentral:rRNA from 1 species